rnacentral:lncRNA from 1 species
GUUACUUUUUCUUUCCUGUGGCAUAAAUGGUAACAAAAUGCAGUGACCCAACAUAGUAUUAAGUAGAAACAGCUAAUUUUUUAAGUACCUAACUUAAGCAAGAAUGUUUAACAAAGGAAAUUUAUUUUUAUCAUUAAUUAAACACUAGAUUUUUUUCCCCAGAAAACCAGAGGAGGAAAAUGAGGCUUCAUUUCUGAGGAAGAAAAACAUGAGGAAAGAGUUCCCAGAGAGAGAAGACAAAGGCAGUCGUUGUUGCAGCAGAAGCCCAAGGCUGAAGAUUGAAGAACUGAAUAUGUAACUUUGUAAGGGACCUGGAGACAAGGAAAAUCUUGUCAGAUUCAACCCAGUUCCACAAGGACAAAAGCACACUGUGUACAGAAACUUGGUAAUUUAUUU